rnacentral:misc_RNA from 1 species
CAGCAAUCUAGAAUUUAAAAUUAGUAAAAAGAAGGAAACUCAUGAUUACAAACAAAUCAUCCAACAAAUUUUAUAAUGUACAGGGAGCAUGUGCUCUCUUGCUUACAUAAAUAUAAACUCUAUAACGUAUGAAAAGAUCAACAUUUAUGUGAGUGCAGGAAACUAAAAUUUAAUACUCUAUCAAUAUAUUUCGAGUGCAUUUAAUAAUUUUCCAAUAAAUAGUGCAUGGAAGAGUAUUGGACAGAUGAAUGUACUCACUGGGCCUUUACUUGUGAAAUAUCCCUUAAGAAAAAAUCAAGAUUAGAAUCAGAAGAUCCAUGUUGAGAAAUUGCUGCUUGACAAGCCUCUUGAACUUCUUUUGUUUUUUCCCUCAUUUCAAUUACUUCACUAUUUUCUUUAUCCAUAAAACUCUGCACAAGUUUUGCAAUUUCUUCUCUUGUUACCAAGUUUUCACCUUCAACCCCUUGUUUCACUCUCCACCCAAUCUUCCAAUCUUCCACAAUUUUUUUACUAUUGGAAGUUUGAUCCCAAAAUAGAGGAGAAGCAAGCAUUGGAACUCCAGCAAAAGCAGCUUCUAAAGUAGAAUUCCAACCACAAUGUGUCCAAAAACCACCAACAGAAAGAUGACACAAAACUCUCAAUUGAUCACACCAUGGAACCACUAAUCCCAAAUCCCCACAACCAUCUUCAAAUAGACCCUUUUCACCACGAGAUACCCACAAGAACCUAACGCCACUAUUUCUUACCCCAGCUACAAUUUCAUCCAUUUGGGCACUUGAAACUGAAAGGAAGCUUCCCAUUGAGACAUAUAACACAGAAUUUUUGGGUUGAGAAUUUAGCCACUGUAAGUAUUCAGGGACUUUUUGAUCAUCACUAGUAGCUAAAUUAGAAUUGGGAUCUAGCUCAAAAUAAGGUACCAUAGGACCUAAAGGGUAGAGUGGAAAGCAAAAAUUCAAUUUUAAAGCAUCAAUAACUGAUGGUUCGAGCUCGUAAGCAGAAGUGAAUAGAAGGUAUUGUGCUUUAGACACCAUUGAAACAGACUUCAGCGCUUUGUAAAGAGUUUGUCUGCCAGUUCCAUUAAAGAUUGUAGGAAAAUCUAAUAGACGUGUUGGAGGAAUUCCAGGGAUGUAAUCCACACGCUCUUCUCCUCUUUCGGAUAACGAGAUCGGAAAAUGCCCAUAUCGGACGAGGAGAUCAAAAUUGUGCAAGAUAGAAAAUACUGUAGCUGACAUUGUCCAAAGAGAAGCAACCGGAAUAUUCCUCCGAUUCCCAACUCCGAUCACCCAAUCCAAGUAAGUAUCGGCUAUAAUAGCAUUCACCGGCGAAUCAAGCCGAUCAAGAAGUUGCUCGAAAGGAGCUUCCAUCUUUGUAGCAACUGCUUCCAAGAAACCUGGAAAAUCCUUAGCACGAAUAAGCUCCGAGGGUAUGACAUUAGGGAUCGUAUUCAAGUGGAUUUUACUUGGCAAGAUAUAGGAGCUAAGGAAGCUCUUCCACUCUUCGGUGACCACCAACGAAACGACAAUAUCAGGAUGCUUAAAUGACAUAAGCUUGCAGAGAUUGAUCAUGGGAUUUAUAUGACCUCUGCCAGGAUAAGGCAUCGCCACCAAAUGGAAGGAGGUGCCGCCGGUGCUAAUUGGGCUCACUUUGACGUCUUCCAUGGCUGCUUUUUGUAUUCUGGAACUUCAACCAGGAAAAAAAAAAUGCGCAGAUGGUGAAUGCGUAGGUGACGUCGUUUUGUUUUAAUUUUCAGAGAAACCGGCGCCUAUUAAUAGAGACUCAUCGAGGGCGGAGGCGUG